rnacentral:misc_RNA from 1 species
CACCAAUCAAGCCUCGCUUGGUAUUGGGCGAUGCGCAUGCCGCACGCCCCAAAUGCACCGGCCGAGCGUGCUCUCCCCCGGCGUCGUGGAAACAUAUCGCCACGGGGAUGGGACCGCCCUCGCGCCGCAAAAACCUCUUUUAAAA